UCCUUCUCCUGGGGCAAGGGAGGACCUCAAAGACCCCCGUGGGACCGAGGAGGACUGGGCCUGAGCCCCGGGCUUCAGCCGGCAGUCAGAAGGCUCCCCGCAGAGGCACAAGCCAUGUUGAUUUUACGGAGAAGGCUGCUCUGCACAUUUCACUGCUGAUUUAUUGGUUUUUAACUAGAUCCUUAUGCUGGCUAAAAAAGCCAUCUUGCACUUUGCAAGGCUCUGUUGACUGCUGCCGAAAAUUGACACAGGGGCUCCUCUUGUCUCCCUUUAGUCUCUCCCUAACCUCCCCCCUCCCCUCCGCCCCCCUACUGAAAGGGCCAAGGUGGAGGUGUGAUCAUGGAGUCCCUUCUCAGGAAGGAGCCUCAGCUGCAGCCUCCGGGGCCCCUGACCACCUGCCGUGUGUACUGGGGAAAUUGAUGGUGUGAGAAGAAAAGUGAUCAACCUUGAAGUCACAUAGCCAGAAAGUUCCAGAGAAGAGCUUCACAUCAGAGUGUAACAGGCUCCCAUGUCUUCACCGUGGCUCCUGCUUUCCCCUCCCUAGGGGUCACUCAUGCUCUGGGAUGAGGCUCUUGUUCCUGCUGACUUCCUGGUUUUUGUUUCAGAGAAGGCCAUGGCUGUACCAGGCCAGCCCUCCUGCCCUUCACUGCCAGCUGUGUAAGGACAGGGCUUCUGCUUUCCUCACCAACUGGCUUCAAGCUCUGACCCCAAAGUGAAACUUGCUCUUGCACUUCCAGACCUCCAGAACUGUGAGCAAUAAUCAGUUGUCUUUAAUAACCAGUCUGAAGCACUUUGCUAUGGCGGCUGGGAUGACCUCAGAGAAGAUGGUCUGGGACACAGAUGAGCUGGGUAUAUGAGCUACUUCAAGGCUGAGGGGUAUGGUAAGUGUUUUU